CCUCUGUCUUUAUUUUGCUGUAAACCUGUGUCUGUGUGUCCUUCUUGCUUUCCAGAACUUUCGGUCCGUCCCAACAGGCCUGAUGUGAUCCAGCUGGACGGAGGUGGAGUCCUGUUGGUGUGGAGGCCAGUCCUGUCCACUGACACUGCUGUUUACUGUGUACAAUACUGCACAGAUGGUGGGGAAUGGAGGGUCCUGUCCGAGGAGGUGACCGACAGCUGUUUUGUGGUGAGGGACUUACCUAGAGGAGCUUCUUAUGUGUUCAGGGUGGGCUGCAUCACCAAGACAGGAGCAGGACCUUUCAGUGACUCCUCGCCGCCUGUUGUUAUGGCUACUCAUCCUGAAGAGACUCACAUUCCUCUCAUCCAGACUGAGUCCCUGGGGUCAAAGGCCGGUGGGUCAGCAACACACAAGACAUACAGCUUCCUGUCUGAGAUCAACAGGUAGAAAUUUCACAAAAAAUAUUCUUACUAGCUCUUAAACAAGUUCUGUCUUUGACUGUAUAUGUCAUGCUGAAUAAACAUGCAGCACUAA
rnacentral:lncRNA from 1 species